GACGAACGCUGGCGGCGUGCUUAACACAUGCAAGUCGAACGGAAAGGCCCUGCUUUUGUGGGGUGCUCGAGUGGCGAACGGGUGAGUAACACGUGAGUAACCUGCCCUUGACUUUGGGAUAACGUCAGGAAACUGGGGCUAAUACCGGAUAGGAGCUCCUGCUGCAUGGUGGGGGUUGGAAAGUUUCGGCGGUUGGGGAUGGACUCGCGGCUUAUCAGCUUGUUGGUGGGGUAGUGGCUUACCAAGGCUUUGACGGGUAGCCGGCCUGAGAGGGUGACCGGCCACAUUGGGACUGAGAUACGUCCCAGACUCCUACGGGAGGCAGCAGUGGGGAAUAUUGCACAAUGGGCGGAAGCCUGAUGCAGCAACGCCGCGUGCGGGAUGACGGCCUUCGGGUUGUAAACCGCUUUCGCCUGUGACGAAGCGUGAGUGACGGUAAUGGGUAAAGAAGCACCGGCUAACUACGUG
rnacentral:rRNA from 1 species